rnacentral:rRNA from 1 species
GAUGAACGCUGGCGGCGUGCCUAACACAUGCAAGUCGAACGGAAAGGCGCUGCUUUUGCGGGGUGCUCGAGUGGCGAACGGGUGUGUAACACGUGAGUAUCCUGCCCUUGACUUUGGGAUAACUUCAGGAGACUGGGGCUAAUACAGGAUAUGAGAUCCUGCUGCAUGGUGGUGGUUGGAAAGUUUCGGCGGUUGGGGAUGUACUCGCGGCUUAUCAGCUUGUUGGUGGAGUAGUGGCAUACCAAGGGUUUGACGGGUAGCCGGCCUGGGAGGGUGGCCGGGGUCCAGAGGCCUGAGGGAGGGCGCAGACGCGAACGGGAGGCAGUGGGGGGGAGUAUGACACAACGGGGGGGAGCCUGUUACGACGAUGCCCGGUGCGUGAUGACGGCCUACUGGUGAUGAACCGCUUUCGCCUGAGACGAAGCGUGAGUGACGGUAAUGAGUAAAGAAGCACCGGCUAACUACGUG